rnacentral:tRNA from 1 species
GGUGGCUCAAUGGUAGAGUGCUUGCCUAGCAUGCAUGAGGCCCUGGGUUCGAUUCCUCAGUACCA